GAGGGUAUAGCUCAGUGGUAUAGCACAUGCUUAGCACGCAUGAGGUCCUGGGUUCAAUUCCCAGUACAUCCU
rnacentral:tRNA from 1 species